rnacentral:rRNA from 1 species
ACAGUCACACAUUAGAUACCCCGGUAGUCCUAGCCGUAAACGAUACUCGCUAGGUGUCGGCCACGGUGCGACCGUUGUCGGUGCCGUAGGGAAGCCGUGAAGCGAGCCACCUGGGAAGUACGGCCGCAAGGCUGAAACUUAAAGGAAUUGGCGGGGGAGCACCACAACGGGUGGAGCUUGCGGUUUAAUUGGAUUCAACGCCGGAAAUCUUACCGGGACCGACAGCAACAUGAAGGCCAGGCUGAAGACUUUGCCGGAUUAGCUG